rnacentral:ncRNA from 1 species
UGCCAAUGCUCUGGGGCAACAUUGCGGAACAGAAACCGCUAAAGUGAGGCAUGUAUCAUAGAAUCGUAUGUGAUUUAUGCGAAUUUCGACACAUUGGAAUUUUUUUUGGAAAAGCAUCUAUUUAGAAGUCUUUUGCCAAGCUUCUUGUUCAAUUGAUGUUAGAGGUCAGGGUACUAUCGGCUAGAUGUGCGAAAAUGCAGUGCAGUCAGGUAAACAAAUUCUGGGAUCUAGACAUUCGUGAAAUCACCGCGGAUGU